AUCACAUCUGGGCAGAGACUGUGCUGGCAGAAAAAGGAUAUGGGGAAAAUGUGCAUGUGGGGAGUUUCUGCCUGAUAAAGGGGAGGGGAGCAGCUGGCUGGAUGUUAAGACUAAUGGUAAGAUCAGGGGAAGAGAUUCCUAUCACUUCUCAGAUUGGUGUGACCAAAGCCAAGCUGGAGUGCUGGCUUUGGAGCAGAAGGACAAGGGUGGUAGCAGGUGCCUCGCAGAAAAGACAGAUUGGAGCUACAGAUUUGUGUGUGAGUCACGCCGUGCUGUUGCAAUACUCACCUGGCCACGACCUCAGCGGAGCCCUGUCCCUGCAUGCAGGAGCUCUUUGGGGCUCAGUGAUUCAGCUGCAUCAGAGGACUUGUGCCUUUCCCCUGUGCCCAGCUGUGUGUAUCCGAGGAAGCAUUUCUGCCUGCUGGGGAGUGAAUCACCCAGGAGUGGCUCACCCAGCCCUGCCUGCUGCGAGCAGGAAGGGGAAUGGAAGAGAGGAGGAGUGUGGGCAGCCUUCCUCCUGCUCUUGGGACUGGGGCUGCUUUGCAAUGCCACGCACGGGUUCUGCAGAGGGACAAGAAUCAAGUGGGGAUGGAGGCCUUGGCUGCUCCUGCACAGCCCUGCAAGGCACUCUGUGGCUGUCACCCUGAGCAGAGAGCAGCCAGCCUGCCCUGUGCAUGGGCUGCAGCUUGUCCCAAGCCCUGUGGCUCCUUCUCUGCUGGUGCUUCAGGCAAGCUGGGACACGGCCACCGCACUGGGGACAUGGCUGUGUCACACACUGAGCUGGGCUGAUCCCUGCCAGUUCCCACAGGAGCUGCAGGCUGGGGAUUUUCCAGAUGGGGAAACUGGUGCAGGGCCAUCCAGCUGUCUCCCACAGGCAGUGUGGGGCAUUCUGUGUGGAUGGAGCAAACUCUCCUUGUGUUCUUUCUGCUGUGCUAUUUCAUUUGCUGUAGACUGCAUUUGCUGUUCACUGGCUCAGAGCAGUUAAGAGCAUCUAAUUUAAGAACUACUACAAUAAAAACAACUUGUGGCA
rnacentral:lncRNA from 12 species